GACGAACGCUGGCGGCGUGCCUAAUACAUGCAAGUCGAACGCACUCUCGUUUAGAUUGAAGGAGCUUGCUCCUGAUUGAUAAACAUUUGAGUGAGUGGCGGACGGGUGAGUAACACGUGGGUAACCUGCCCUAAAGUGGGGGAUAACAUUUGGAAACAGAUGCUAAUACCGCAUAAAACCUAACACCGCACGGUGUAGGGUUGAAAGAUGGUUUCGGCUAUCACUUUAGGAUGGACCCGCGGUGCAUUAGUUAGUUGGUGAGGUAAAGGCUCACCAAGACCGUGAUGCAUAGCCGACCUGAGGGGGUAAUCGGCCACACUGGGACUGAGACACGGCCCAGACUCCUACGGGAGGCAGCAGUAGGGAAUCUUCCACAAUGGACGAAAGUCUGAUGGAGCAACGCCGCGUGAGUGAAGAAGGUUUCGGAUCGUAAAACUCUGUUGUUGGAGAAGAAUGUAUCUGAUAGUAACUGAUCAGGUAGUGACGGUAUCCAACCAGAAA
rnacentral:rRNA from 1 species